GAUAAUGUACAUUUCCAGCAGGCAGCUGAGAUCUCUGAAGCUCUAGUGGAGAAGCAGGUGGACUUUGAGGCGAUGUGGUACACAGACAAGGAUCACGGGCUCGGCGGCUCGGCCUAUCAACACGUCUACACCCACAUGAGUCACUUCUUACAGAGGUGCUUUGCAUGAAGUCCACUGGAUCCCAAAAACCUCUUUUCAUUGUUUCAUGUGAAUAAAAAAUAUAAAUUUUGGGGAUCAAGACUUCAAAUGUAAAUGCAGGCUUGAUUACUAGUGGAAACGUAUUGAGUAAAAAGUGGGCUAAAACACGACAUUGGAGAUGGUAUUUUUACUUAUAACACAUCUACAUGUACAAUGUAAUGAAGUUUGUUUCAUGAAUUUAACUUUUAAAGAGGUUUUUACUUGACCUGGGCAAGGAAUCGAUAUAAUAAUGUGAUAGUUUAAAAUGUCGUAAAUGUACUUGGACAUGAAGAGUAUUUAUAGUUCAGAAACAUAAUGCUCCACAGUGAUUUUAUACAGUUUUACUAAAUUUAUGAAAGUUUUGACUGUAUUAUGUAAUAACUGUUUUGUAAAAUAAUAAAGGAAUAAAUAAUGAGAACCUC